rnacentral:rRNA from 1 species
AUAUCAAUAAGCGGAGGAAAAGAAACUAACAAGGAUUCCCCUAGUAGCGGCGAGCGAAGCGGGAAGAGCUCAAAUUUGUAAUCUGGUACCUUCGGUGCCCGAGUUGUAAUCUCGAGAAGUGUUUUCCGUGCCAGACCGCAUACAAGUCCGUUGGAAUACAGCGUCAUAGUGGUGAGAACCCCGUAGAUGAUGCGGAUGCCUGGUGCUCUGUGAUACACUUUCGAAGAGUCGAGUUGUUUGGGAAUGCAGCUCAAAUUGGGUGGUAAAUUCCAUCUAAAGCUAAAUAUUGGCGAGAGACCGAUAGCGAACAAGUACCGUGAGGGAAAGAUGAAAAGCACUUUGGAAAGAGAGUUAACAGUAC